CGAAUGGGGAGAUUCAUCGUCAGCUCAUUUUGUAUAUGUAUAAGUUAUGAUGCGGGUUACUACUUGUAGUAUUGCCUGCACAUUCUUGUAUAUUUAGUUGCAAGAUGUUGUCGGCGUGCACUUCUCCCCUAGUAGGACGUCGCGACCUGUUGGGUGUCGGUCUACGGCCCAAGUGAUAGCCUUUAAUGUAAUUUAAAAAACAUUGAAGACCCUUGGUGUUUUCUGACCGGCUACUUGGCAGUAUUCGUACGGUAUUUAGCCGCUAAAUUUAUUAAGCGUCCAUAUCCAUCACAAGCGAGGCUAAUUUACUGAUAGUACGGACCUAGUGCCGUCGUUGGUAUUGGCCAGCUGUUGGUUGAUGGUAUUCUAGGAC
rnacentral:rRNA from 1 species